UGCCGGACCUGACUGCUAUCGGAUGAUACUAAGCCAUGCGAGUCUUGUAGUAAUACAAGGCAGACGGCUCAGUAACACGUAGUCAACCUACCCUAUGGACGAGAAUAAUCUCGGGAAACUGAGCAUAAUUCUCGAUAGAUCAUAAUGCCUGGAAUGAUUUAUGGUUAAAAUGAUUCGUCGCCAUAGGAUGGGACUGCGGCCUAUCAGCUUGUUGGUGAGGUAAUGGCCCACCAAGGCGAUUACAGGUACGGGCUCUGAGAGGAGAAGCCCGGAGAUGGGUACUGAGACACGGACCCAGGCCCUAUGGGGCGCAGCAGGCGAGAAAACUUUGCAAUGUGCGAAAGCACGACAAGGUUAAUCCGAGUGAUUUCUGCUAAAGAAAUCUUUUGCCAGUCGUAAAACCGCUGGUGAAUAAGGGGUGGGCAAGUUCUGGUGUCAGCCGCCGCGGUAAAACCAGCACCUCAAGUGGUCAGGAUGAUUAUUGGGCCUAAAGCAUCCGUAGCCGGCUUUGUAAGUUUUUGGUUAAAUCCAUGUGCUCAACGCAUGGGCUGCCGAAAAUACUGCAUAGCUAGGGAGUGGGAGAGGUAGACGGUACUCAGUAGGUAGGGGUAAAAUCCUUUGAUCUAUUGAUGACCACCUGUGGCGAAGGCGGUCUACCAGAACACGUUCGACGGUGAGGGAUGAAAGCUGGGGGAGCAAACCGGAUUAGAUACCCGGGUAGUCCCAGCUGUAAACGAUGCAGACUCGAUGAUGCAUUGGCAUAAUAGCCAUUGCAGUGUCGCAGGGAAGCCGUUAAGUCUGCCGCCUGGGAAGUACGUACGCAAGUAUGAAACUUAAAGGAUUGGCGGGGGAGCACCACAAGGGUGAAGCCUGCGGUUCA
rnacentral:rRNA from 1 species